rnacentral:lncRNA from 1 species
UUUCACGCCAUUGCAUAGAACAGGGAUUGAUUGAUAAACGAUACUAAAAAAUUAAUGUUUUUCUUACAAAUUAAUUAUCAAUCAAAAACCAAAUAUAAGAUGAUAGUAAACAAGCCAAACAAUAUCUAGGUGCAUCAUGGUACUGUUAAUACAUUGGUUAACACAUUGAACAAACUUUAAAUUAGGCUACAUUUCAUUGUGCAAAAAGUAGCUUUUGCAUUUUGCAAUACAAACAUAAGAAAUGGUUUCCCCAAAUUCAUUCUCAACUCCAAGGGCCUAAAUUGAAAUAUUGAAGACGACAAUUUUUCGUACAAAGGCUGUUAGGCCAAGACACUUUAAGUAAAAGUGGCUCUCCCUCACACAUACCAUAUUAGCCCAUGGCAUAUUUCUGGGUCCAGCUUCUUGCAGUUGACUCAUAUUUGUUCCUAUCUGUCUUGUACAUGUGGGCAAUUUCAGGAACCAAAGGAUCAUCGGGAUUUGGAUCCGUCAACAAGGAACAAAUAGAGAGUAACACCUAUAGAUGUCACCAAAAUAAUAAACAAUGUAAAUAAUGAUUAGAUGUAAUGUAACUCCACAACCAUAUCAGGAUACAUGUGAAUAGCUAUAAAUAACAAAAAUUGAAAAAAGAUUUCCUUUUAAUUGGCGAUUAUAAAAAAUAUCAGAAAAAGUUACGCGAUUUAUAUUAACUGCAUUCAGUAUAAGUCUGAACUCUAUACUGCACAACAUUAUGCCCAAACUUCAAGCAGAACAGCCAUUAGAGAUUCUUUGCAUAUAAAUUACAAAGUAGGGAUAAGUACAUUUUGGUGAAUCCCACAGUUCAGCAGAUACCGGUGGAUAUCAAGACUAAGGAAUGAUAGUAAGAAAUAUUAUGCCAAACGUCAUGAAAACCAACCUCUAAACUUCAAGAGUUCAAUAACUAGGUAGAGUUUAACAAAUUCAAGUGUUUAUAAAGUAGGUGUUAUAUUUGUUUUCUAUUUUGUCAGUGUAAACAAAUUUUAAGAAGUAACGUUAUAAUUUGGCAAGAUGAUAAAAUUUAAUUAGAUGUCUGCGUAAAACCUGCUUACAUAAGUUCAAAAUUCAUAGCAUAAAAUUAUUAAAUUGGGAUUAUAUGUUGUGGUGAGCCCCCUGUUCAGUAAAUAAUGUUGACAGUAAGAAUAGGGGAAAAUCAAUUGCAUUGGUAAGCAUACAUUUAGGAACAUAUUAAAUGUAUAAAGAGAUGCUAUUCAAUAGAAUAUUAGAUGUAAUAAAUAGAGACUAGUACACUGCGCCCUUGACAUGCAUAAAGAGAUGCCAAGCAAGCAUCAAGACAAAAGAAUAUUAAAUGUAAUAAAUAGGGACUACUACACUGCCAUGAAUCCCUUGUUUGAUAAACACCAUUUGUCAUCAAGUGCAUGGAACAAUAACAUCUGGGUUUAGAUAUGGAUUGUAUUGGGAGAAUAGGAAACACAAUUUAAGAAAUGAACGUUUAUUUCACUACCUAAUAAAUUGAUAAAACAAACCUUGGAAAUGGUAAGAGCAGGGCUCCACUGCUCCUUCAAUAUAUCAAGGCAAAUGCUUCCAUUGCUAUUAAUGUUCGGGUGAAAUACCUUCGUCCUGAACGCAACCUGAAAGACCAAUCACCAUGCAUAGAUAAGUUCAUACAUACUGAAUGUGUAAGAUCAUAAUUAUUGUCAAUAAAUGAAUGCUUAAAUGACAAAGAAGUAAUCCAACAAAAUAAGGGAAAAUGCAAAGCAGCAUUCUUUAAAAUAAACUAGCAAGAAUUGAAUACAGUUAUAAUCGACAAUACAGAAACAGACAUGAUAUAUAAAUACAAACCUUGGGUGGCUUAAAGGGAUAAUCGGGAGGGAAAUGAAUAGUAACUAGGAAAACACCUCCAGCAUAUGGACUGUCUGCAGGACCCAUAAUUGUUGCUUGCCAAUGGAACAUAUCUUCAGCAACCGGGCCUGCAAUGUAUUGAUUAUGAAACAAAGUCAAAACAAGAAUAUAAGCACAAAUUUUUCUUCGUGCCACCACAAAUAUUGUAUCUAAAAUGACAGGGCGCUACAUAAUGUCCCAUUACUAUUCAUGUCAAUUGGCAUACAGAUAAAUUAACUUUAUCUGUAAAAGUAGUUUCAUCAUACAUAGCUACUUCUACAAAAAAAUUGUAAUUGCUAUUAUACAAAUUAGGAAAUAAGUUUAAGAAUAUUUGGCACUGAAGUGAAAAAUAUACAUGAUUAAAUAUUUUCCUGAUUCAGGCAAUGACUAGACCACAGUCCAGAUAUAAUAUAAAAAUUUAAAACAGAUGCAUAACACAUAACCGCACCAACAGAUGCAUAAUUUAAGCAAUAGCAUAGGCAAGUAAAAAGAGAUGAAAUGAUGAAUAUAGCUUGAUAUUUCUAUAAUCAAAAGCCUACAUAGACACCAAUUUUAUUAAAACAUGUAAAAGUCCGAUUAAUCCAUUCUUCAGCAACAUCGUGGAAUCCUAUAACUUUGCACCCGCACGGAACCAAACAAACACUGUCCUAGGGCCUAUUUGAACUAGCUUAUUUGAGCUUAUCUCCUGACAUAAGCACCUAUGAAACUUUGAGAGAACUUAUGUUCACAAGUUCUUUUCAACUUAUUUUCAUAAGUUCUCCAAGAUAGCUUGUGAAAACAGCUUAUAGCUUAUACAAAAAAAUAAUUUUAUUUUAUCAUCAAUUAUAAAAAUGGCUUAUACAUAACCAAGCACUUAUCAAUAACGAAAAACAUAAAAUUCUCAACAUGAAGUAAUUUAUCAACAAAUCACAAACUAUAUUGAAUCCAGCAACAAAAAGCAACCACCAAAUAUUCAAUUCCAGUUAUAAAAAAAACGCAAAAAAUAUACACAAAAAUAACAAUCACAAUAAAAAAAUUUAAAAAAUGAAAAAAGUAAUAAAUAUACCAGCACUGCAUGAAGUUGGAGGAUCCUUCUGCAAAUCCUUGAGUUCUUUCAAGAUCCGCUUUGAAGCCAUAGCAAAAACCUAACAAAAACAGAUCGAAAACAAAAAUCAGCUAAAAAUCAAAACAAAUAGAUCGAAAACAGAUAAUCGUAGAUAUGAUUGGUUACCAGGAGAAAACGCAAGAGAGAUCCUCCUUUUGAAUUUGCAAGGAAUUUGCAAAGAAUCGAAGAAAGAAAGAAAACGAGUUGUUGAAUAUAAAUGGUGUUGGUGCUUAGAAAUUUUGUGAUUGGGAGAUAAUAUUAAUUGUUUUUAAUGACUCGUUAUUGAAGGAAUCUAACGUUACGUAGGUCCACGCGGAAGAAACGAACCCAAUGCAUUAUACGGUGCUUGUUCAUUGUAUUAUUUUGUGUUCAUUUUUAUUUUAUUUUUAAUUUGGUAUUCGAUAUUAGGGUUGAGAAUCGGUGGGUUUUUGUUUGAAAAUCGUCAAACUAUUAAAAAAUAAAACUAUUUAGUUUAAUCUGAUUCGGGUCAGUUCUGGUUUUAGCCUCCUCCCGAUCACAGUUGCGAGCGAUCGAACCGUGGUCCUUCCUACCAAGUUCAACACUAAUAUGGAUUAGAUUUAAAUCUUGUUGUUAGAUCAAAAACUCCAUUGAUCCAGAAAUUCAUAUUCUUCAAAUAGUUCAAUACCUUAUAUACGAGAGAAUAAAUGAUAGAAGAACUAAAUGAACAACAAAAAGGGUGAAAUACAACUAAAUUAGAAAUACAAAGAUAGAGUAUAUUCCACACUCCUCAUCAACAUACAAACUUGUAAUCUUGCGACUUUGAAUGUUCUAGGUGAAGUAAUAAAAUAAUAUUAUUAUAAUUAUUUUUCUUACUCAAACAAUCACAUGACAAUUUAUUCACAACAAUCAAUCUACUACAACUAAGUUAGAUAGUUUGAAUCGCUUUAAAUACUAUCGGUCUAUUGUUAUUUAUAAGCAAGUGAAUACAUUUAACAUAAAUCAAAUCCUUUAAAUAUGGGGAUGAAUAAACUAACAAGCCUAAUCUUAGAGAGAUAUUCUCACCAAAAUAUAUCUUAAAUUCCUGCAGAUGUUAACCCCCUCAAGUUGGUGCAUAUAUAUUAUAUGCAUCAAGCUAUACUCGGAUCGGGAGUGGUUAUGGUGCAUAAGUUUUUUCCUUAUGCACCACCAUGCAUAAAUAUUCGCGCCGCGACAAGCGCGCCCCCCAGAUUUUCUUGCGCACCCCCAGUUUUUUUUCGUCCCAUUUUUUUCCUAGCGCGCCCCCCAAUUUUUUUUCCUCCCACGGAUUUCUAGCGCGCCCCCCAUUUCCAAUUAAAUAAUUACUUUUGUUCUUUUGAAGUACAUACUAUAAGAACCCAUUUUUAAAUUAAUUGUGUUGGAUGAUUAUAUAGCCAUAUUCUAAUUUAAAAUUACAUACUAAAAGAUGUACUGUAAUUAUGGUUUAAUUUAUCACAAUUAACAUAAAAACUAUUAAGUACAUCUAAUGAUUUUGGUGUACAUAUCUCUGAAACCAUUCCACGGCAAAAUGGUUUUGCAAUGAUUUUAGUUUAAAACUAACUACUAAAACAUUUAACCAUACAUAAUACUCUNNNNNNNNNNNNNNNNNNNNNNNNNNNNNNNNNNNNNNNNNNNNNNNNNNNNNNNNNNNNNNNNNNNNNNNNNNNNNNNNNNNNNNNNNNNNNNNNNNNNNNNNNNNNNNNNNNNNNNNNNNNNNNNNNNNNNNNNNNNNNNNNNNNNNNNNNNNNNNNNUUUAAAACUAACUACUAAAACAUUUAACCGUACAUACUACUUUGAAUAUUAUCCUUAAUCAAUAAACUAAAAUUCAAUUAAUCAAAAUUAAUCAAUUUUUUUAUAAAAAAAAAACUGGGGGGCGCGGUAGAAAUCUGGGGGGCGCAAAGCAAUUUGCGGGACGCACUAAGCAAUCUGGAGUAUUUAUGCAUGGUGCAUAAGCCUUGUGCAAGGCUUCUGCACCAUAGCUUUACCCCCUCGGACCCCUAAAGGAUUUAAGUUCAAAAAGGAAGUAAUUAUAUAACCGGAAAGAAUUUUCUCACGGAUGAAGUGACAAUUAAACUCUAUAUACUUUGUACAUUCAUGGAAGACUGGAUUAGAUGCAAUAUGUAAAGCUAUCUGAUUAUCAUAAAUUAGACACAUUGAUUCAGGCUUUCGAAACUUUAACUCAUCGAGAAGUUAUUUCAACCAAAUUAGUUCACAUGUAGUUGAGAGUCAUAGCUCAAUAUUCAACCUCUGCACUAGAUCUAGCAACAACAAUUUGUUUUUUACUUUUCCAAGAAAUAAAAUUUCCUCCAAUAAGAACACAAUAACUAGAGGUUGACACCGUCAAUAAUAAUAAUAAUAAUAAUAAUAAUAAUAAUAAUAAUAAUAAUAAUAAUAAUAAUAAUAACUAGAGAUUGACCGUAGAAGAACAUCCAUCUCAAUAAUCCUUUUUCAAAUGGUGCAUGCCAUCCUGGUUUUUUUUACUACAAUGGAUCCAUAUUCAUUGAAUGCAAGUACUCGUUCCAAGUUACUCCCUCCGUCCCAAAAUAUAAGAACUCAUUGACCACUGCACGUAUGCCAAUACAUAAUUUUGAUUGCGAAUAUCUUCAAUUCUCUAUUAGUAAAAAUUAUAGAAAUUUGAUAUUGUGAAAAUAUUCAUCGAAACAAAUCAAAAAAGUUGUUAUAUGAUAAUAUUUACAUUUAUAUACAUUUAGAAAAAUACUGUAAAAACAAAACAUAUGAAUAGUACAUUUAAUCAAAUGAGGUCUUAUAAAAUGGGUAUGAUAGUUAAUGUCAACAAAUCGUUUUCAAAGUUCCAGCCAUGAUGAGCUAAGAACUUUAGAUUAAGCUAGGAUGAAUUAUAGAUUUGAUCUAAUCUGUAUGAUACUGGUAGACUUCCCAUGUUCAACAAGUUUGUCACGCCAUUGCAUAGAACAGGGAUUGAUUGAUAAACAAUAAAAAUGAAUGUUUUUCUUACAAAUUAAUUAUCAAUCAAAAACCAAAUAUAAGCUGAUAGUAAACAAGCCAAGCCAAACAAUAUCUAGGUGCAUCAUGAUACUUUUAAGUUUUAAUACAUUGGUUAACACAUUGAACAAAUUUUUAAUUAGGCUACAUUUCAUUGUUCUGGAAGUAGCUUUUGCAUUUUGCAAUACAAACAACAUAAGAAAUGGUUUCCCCCAAUUCAUUCUCAACUAGAGGGGCCUUAAUUGAACUAUUGAAGACAGACAAUUUUUCAUACAAAGGCUGUUAGGCCAAGACACUAUAAAAGUGGCAUUCCCUCACAAAUACCAUAUUAGCCCAUGGCAUAUUUCUGGGUCCAGCUUCUUGCAGUUGACUCGUAUUUGUUCCUAUCUGUCUUGUACAUAUGAGCAAUUUCAGGAACCAGAGGAUCAUCGGGAUUUGGGUCUGUCAACAAGGAACAAAUAGAGAGCAACACCUGUAGAUGUCAAAGAAAUAAAAAUAAUAAUUAGAUGCAACUCCACAACUAUAUCAGGAUACAUGAAAAGUUUUUGUUGUACUCUGUACUGAAUAACAUGAUGCCAAACUUCAAGCAAAACAGCCAUUCCAGAUUAGUUGCAUAAAAAUUACAUAGUAGGGAUAAGUGCAUUUUGGUCAAUCCCAGAGUUCGAAAGAUACUGGUGAACAUCAAGACUAAGGAACGUUAUGCCAAACUUCAACUCUCAACUGAACAUCAAAGACUAUUCCCUUUACUGAACAACAUUAUGCCAAACUUCAACUCUCAACUGAACAUCAAAGACUACUCUCUACUAAACAAUAUCAUGCCAAACUUCAAGCAAAACAGCCAUUCAAGAUUCUUUGCAUAUAGAUUAUAAAGUACGGACAAGUAGAUUUCAAUGAAUUCCACAAUUAUAAAGUAGGGAUCCUUAAAGAAUUUUUGUAGUUAUUGGAUUAUGAAACUCCCUGCACGGUGUUGUGUAAAACUAGCCAAACUUCAUGAAAGCCAUCCUCUAAACUUCAAGAGUUUAAUAACAGGGUAGAGUUUAACAACUUCAGGUGUUUAUAAAUUAGGUGUUACAUGGUUUUCUAUCUUGUCAUAGUGUAAACUAAUUUUAAGAAGUAACGAUAUAAUGUGGCAAGAUGACAAAAUAUAAUUAGACGUCUGUGUAAAACCUGCUUGCAUAAGUUCAAAAUUCACAGCAUAAAAUUAUUAAAUAGGGAUUAUAUGUUGUGACGAUUCCCCCCUAUUCAGUAAAUAAUGUUGACAGUAAGAAUAGGGGAAAAUGGAUUGCAUUAGUAAGCAUAUAUUCUUAUACUACAUAUUAUACAUAUUAAAUGUAUAAGGAGAUGCCAUUCAAAAGAAUAUUAGAUGUAAUAAAUAGGGACUAGUAUGGUGCGAUGAAUCCCUUGACAUGCAAAAAGAGAUGCCCUUCAAAUAUCAAGGCAAAAAGAAUAUUGAAUGUAAUAAAUAGGGACUAGUACACUGCGAAGAAUCCCUUGUUUGGUAAACACCAUUUGUCAUCAAGUGUACGGAACAAUCACGGCUUGGUUUAGAUAUGGAUUGUAUUGGAAGAAUAGGGUACAUACUUUAAGGAAUGAAGGUUUAUUUCACUAUCUAAUAAAUUGAUAAAACAGACCUUGGAAAUGGUUAGUGCAGGGCUCCACUGCUCCUUCAAUAUAUCAAGGCAAAUACUUCCAUUGCUGUUAAUGUUUGGGUGAAAUACCUUCGUCCUGAAUGCAACCUGAAAGAUCAAUCACCAUGCAUAGAUAUGUUCAUUCAUACUGAAUUUGUCAAUAAAUGAAUGCUUAAAUGACAAAGAAGCAAUCCAAAAUAAUAAGGGAAAAUGCAAAGCAGUAUUCUAUAAAAUAAACUAGCAAGAAAUGAAAACAGCUUUAAUCGACAAUACAGAAACAGACAUGGGAUAGAAAUAGAAACCUUGGGUGGCUUAAAGGGAUAAUCUGGAGGGAAAUGAAUAGAAACUAGGAAAACACCUCCAGAAUACGGACUGUCUGAAGGACCCAUAAUUGUUGCUUGCCAAUGAAACAUAUCUUCAGCAACCGGGCCUGCAAUGUAUUGAGUAUGAAACAAAGUCAAAACAACAAUAUAAGCAUAAAUUGUUCUUCAUGCCAGCACAAAUAGUGUACCUAAAAUGACAUGGCGCUACAUAAUAUCCCACUACUCAUCAUGUAAAUUGGCAUACAGAUAAAUUAACUUAUCAGAUAAAGUAGUUUCAUCAUACAUGGCCACUUCUCAAAAAAAAUUGCAAUUGCUAUAUACACAAUAGGAAAUAAGUUUAAGAAUAUUUGGCACUGAAAAAUAUCCAUGAUUAAAUAUUUUCCUGAUUCAGGUAAUGACUGGACCAUAGUCCAAAUACAAUAUGUAAAUUCAAAACAUCAAUCAGUACACAACUACAGCAACUACAACUUCCAUUUCUGCAGAAUCUGGUCACAUAACACACAACAGCACCAACAGAUUCAUAAUUUAAGCAAUAGCAUUGCCAAGUAAAAAGAGAUGAAUAUAGGUUGAUACUUCUAUAAUCAAAAGCCUACACAAUCGACAACAAUCUAUGAAAACAUAUAAAAGUCAAAGAAAUCCACUCUUCAGCAACAUCGUGGAAUCCGAUAACCGCCCCCACACAGAACAAAACAAACACUGUCCUAGGGACUAUUUGAAUCAGCUUAUUUGAGCUUAUCUCCCGACAUAAGCACCUGUGAGACUGCUUGAGAGAACUUAUGAAAGCAGCUUAUAACAUGUUCGUAUGUUGUUUUCAACUUAUUUUCAUAAGUUCUCCAAAAUAGCUUGUGAAAACAGCUUAUAUGAAAAAAUAAUUUUAUCUUAUCUCUAAUAGUAAAAAUGGCUUAUACAUAAGCACUUAUCAUAACUAUCGUAUAUGCUAUAGGUUGCAAAUUAAGUUGUUUAUCCGAAAAGGCCCGAAUCCAAAGAUGAAAGUAAAACCAAUCUCAAAUAACAUCUACUACAACCAAUUAAAACAAUUAACAAUCUCAAACAAAAACGAAAAACAUAAAAUUCUCAACAUGAAGUUACAAUAUUGUAAUUUAUCAACAAAUCACAAACUAUAAACACACCUGAAUCGAACUUAAAAUUGAUCUAAUAACAAAAAAUAAGCAGCAAAUAUAUGAUUCCAAUUGAAAAAGAGCAAAAAAAAUAUACAUAAAAAUAUCAAUCAAAAUUAAAAAAAUAAAAUAAAAAAAAGAAAUAUAUAUACCAGCACUGCACGAAGUUGGAGGAUCCUUCUGCAAAUCCUUGAGUUCUUUCAAUAUCCGUUUUGAAGCCAUAGCAAAAACCUAACAAAAACAGAUCGAAAACAAAAACCAGCUUAAAAAUCAAAACGAAUAGAUCGAAAACAGAAAAUCGUAGAUGAUGAUGAUUGAUUACCUAGAGAUAACGCAAGAGAGAUCCUCCUUUGAAUUUGCAAGGAAUUGAAGAACGAAUGAAAAGGAGUUGUUGGAUAUAAAUAAAUGGUGUUGGUGCUUUUUUGAAAUUUUGGGAAUGAGAUAUUAUUAAUUGGUGUUAAUGAUUGUGAUAAUUGUAUUUAUUUAGAUUUAGAUUAGAUUAAAUUAGAUUCCAAACGAUGACUCGUUAUUGAAGGAAUCUUUUACUUUUGUUUUGUCCACGCGGAAGGGGGUCAGAACAGAAGAAACGAAUCGAGGGUAAUAUUGGUUCUUGCUCUUUGUUCUAUUUUGUGAUGAUUGAUGCAUUGAAUCUAGGUUCCAAACUUCCAAUUUAGCAAGAAAAAUGCUAAAAUAUGUAGUAUUAAUUAUUAAAGAUAUUGUUUAAAAAUUUAUAAAAUUUUAUUUGGAAAUAGUAUAGGUCAAAUAUUUCUUAAAUUAAUAAGUAUAUUAUUUUUUUUAUAUAAAAGUAAAUUUUUUAAUUUUUCUUUUUUGAUUUACAAUGAGUUUGAGAUCGAACUCAGGACCUAUUAGGAUUCUUUCUAUUUUUCAAUGGAAAUAGAAAGUUCUAUUUAAAGAUAGCCACAAAUAAGUUUAAAUUAUUUUAAAAAUAUUAAAUGAUGACGGAAUUCACUUGAUAAUGAAACUCACUACCUGUUUUUUAAUUUUUAUGUGUAUGUCUCUCUAAUGGAGUUUUUCAUUUUUUUGAAAAAUAUAGAGGAUCCUAACUUGAGAAAUAUAUUGUUAUUAGAUCGCAUCCUUGUAUAAACACACCCACUCUCUUCUCUAUGUCAUGUGGAUAAGAUAAGUAAAAAAAAGUUAAAAAUCUAUUUGUAUAACUAGUAAAUGAGACAAUAUAAGUGAUUGUUGUUCUAUUCAACCGCCACAUCACAAUCCUUAGGUAAAAGAGAUGGUCUACAUAAGACUAACCAAACCACUUUAAGGUUGGAUAUGAUGGAUUACGGUAUUGUAAAGGAGCUGGAGAAUCUCAAAACUAUGACGAUCUUUUCAGUAGCUCCGAAGGCAAAUGAAUGAAAAAAAUACAAUAGAAAGAGUUGAGUUUUUUUAAAAAACAAAUUGCAAAUUAUUAGUAUAUUAAUUGUUACAUUAGUUGUUUACACUUUGUCAGAACUUGAACUUUGUACCUCCAACUCUGUUAACCAUUAACUAGUUCAACUAGUUGAACUACUCAUCCCACCCAUUAGAAAAAGAUGAGUGUGUGAUGACAGAAUUGUGAGACAUAUAUCUAAGUUCGAAGUUUGGAUAUAGCUUAAAGAAAAAGGUAUUUUUGGCGUUAUUGAUUAAAGAAAAAGAUAUAGAUUAGAUUAAGCUACGAUAACUUAUAUUUGAUCUAAUGUGAACGAUACUGGCAGACUUGCCAUGUUCAACAAGUUUUUGGCGUCAUUGCAUAGAACAGGGAUUGAUAAACAACAAAAAUUAAUGUUUUUCUUACAAAUUAAUUAAUUAUUAAUCAAAAUCAAAAUAUAAGCUAAUAGUAAACAAGCCAAACAAUAUCUAGGUGCAUCAUGAUACUGUUAAUACAUUGGUUAACACAUUGGACAAACUUUUAAUUAGGUUACAUUCCAUUGUUCUAGAAGUAGCUUUGCAACAACAUAAGAAAUGGCUCCCCCAAUUCAUUCUCAACUAGAGGGGCCUUAAUUGAACUAUUGAAGACGACAAUUUUUCAUACAAAGGCUGUUAGGCCAAGACACUUAAAAGUGGCUCUCCCUCACACAUACCAUAUUAGCCCAUGGCAUAUUUCUGGGUCCAGCUUCUUGCAGUUGACUCAUAUUUGUUCCUAUCUGUCUUGUACAUAUGAGCAAUUUCAGGAACCAAAGGAUCAUCGGGAUUUGGGUCCGUCAACAAGGAACAAAUAGAGAGCAACACCUAUA